UACGGAGGGGGCUAGCGUUGUUCGGAAUCAUUGGGCGUAAAGCGUGCGCAGGCGGCCUGUUAAGUCUGGUGUGAAAACCCAGGGCUCAACCCUGGAGGCGCAUUGGAAACUGGCAGGCUUGAAUCCGAGAGGGGUCAGUGGAAUUCGUGGUGUAGGGGUGAAAUCCGUAGAGAUCACGAGGAACGCCGGCGGCGAAGGCGACUGACUGGAUCGGUAUUGACGCUGAGGCACGAAAGCGUGGGGAGCAAACAGG
rnacentral:misc_RNA from 1 species